CCUACGGGAGGCAGCAGUGGGGGAUAUUGCACAAUGGGGGGAACCCUGAUGCAGCGACGCCGCGUGGGUGAAGGAGCGUUUCGGAGCGUAAACCCCUUUCGGCAGGGAAGAAGAUGACGGUAUCUGACCAAGAAGCCCCGGCUAACUACGUGCCAGCAGCCGCGGUAAUACGUAGGGUGCAAGCGUUAUCCGGAUUUACUGGGCGUAAAGGGGGCGCAGACGGCAGAGCAAGCCAGAGGUGAAAGCCUGGGGCUUAACCCUGGGACUGCUUUUGAAACUGUUUUGCUGGAGUACAGGAGGGGCAGGCGGAAUUCCUGGUGUAGGGGUGAAAUGCGUAGAUAUUAGGAGGAACAC
rnacentral:rRNA from 1 species